GGUAUUUGUUUUGUUCGCUUUAGAAUUAUCUCACUGUGAUCUCGUAGCAUAAUUCAUAAUUCGCUAAUGUAAGAGCAAGAGCAGCUGCACUCCUACUAGGGCAAGUUAACUACCUCGAUCCCGUUCCGUGUGACUAAUGUUUGUCAAAUUUACAUCGGGCGUGGUGCGCCUGCAUAGUUACGCUUUGUUUCUCAGCGCUUGAAUGUUCAUUGAUGUGAUUCUCUUGUGCGUUCAGCGCGGCUGCUUGUAAUGCGGUCGUUCGCGCUUCAGUUAAAUGUGGUCGACCACUUUUGCGUCGCGUAGAAAAGGACUGGCUUAGCCACCUUUCGAAGGAACCGGCGCGGUAUUGGUUCUCCCUGAUGCGGUCGCGUGCUGCUGUUGCUGCUUGCCGGACGCCUUCAGCAUUUUAUCGGCUCGCUUUGUCUGCGUGUGCGCGUGCUCGCGCUCGGCUUGAUUUGUGUGUGCGCUCAGCUCAGCUCGCUUUGUGUGUGCGUGCGUGCGUGCGUGUGUGCGCUCAGCUCAGCUCGCUUUGUGUGUGUGUGUGUGUGUGUGCGCGCGCGCGCGCGUGCGUGCGUUCAGUACAUGCCGGUUUGUAUGGGCCGGCGUGUUUGCGCGUGUCUAGUGCGUACGUGUUUUGUGAGUGUUGUCUGUGGGUCGAUGUGUGUGCGUGCACGUGUUAGCGUGUCUGCCUGCAUGCAUGUAUGUGUGCUUGUUUGUGUUCAUCAAUGUGCGCGUGCGCGCUUUUGUGUCUGCGCUUUGAGAGUGCGUAUACUUGUGUGUGCGUGUGGAUGCGUUUUGUGUGCGUGCGUAUGUAUUGCAUGAGGCCGGUAGAGUUUUACUCGCAAUAAAACUCUUCCGAUUUGGUGCAGCGAGUGUUCCCGCCUGAAAGCCGAGUUUGGUUUCAAGCCACCCUGGACAACUGCUGUAUGAGGCGCCGUUUCUCGGGGGGACCAGUGGGAAGGCGCCAAGUCAUGCAGAUGGUAGCAGCGAUUUCACAAUGCCCAGCCUUGGCGCCCCCCAUCAAGAGCAAGCCACUUGCUUUCGCCUUCAGACAGAUGGUUAACGUCUUCUUGAAAGCGGUUGAGAAGACAACAUUGCUGCAAGAUUCCAGCAAUGCCAUGCGCUGCAUUUAUUGGUCAAGAUGCUCAGAGAAUGGAGUCCCUGCACCUCGUGGUUAACCGUGAACAUUUCUUUUUCUUUUGGAAAGCUAAAGGCCAUUUGCUGCAUCACUUGCAUUUUUGCAGCUCAGAUGUGUACUAUAUUUUUCUAAUUUUGAAUCAAUAUUGGCUAUUCAGUAUAAAAAAUGACGUACAGCGUGAAGGACAAGGACUGCGAGAGACACACUCCACUGACUUUCAACAAUAUUUUAUUGCGUUGCCACAUCGUAUGUGUAUACACAGAGGGGUCAUGCGCAGAAAAUGAAAGCCAGACACAAGGGGUGUUCUAACAGCAAGUCAUUGUAAAAAGAACAUGGUCACUUGAAAAAAAAAACAUCACAAUUUCUAUCUGUUUAGAUACAAAAUUUCACUAGGGGUCAGCGUGAUAGAGGGGGCACUAACGCACACACUACCCAGUUUUCUGGUGAAAUCAGCUUCAAUAAUUUACCGGGUGAGCUGUGUCUCGCUAAAACUUCGGUAUCUUAAAGAGGGGCAUGCAGCCGCAGUCCCGGCAAUGAAUGCCCAAGUGGCCUUGAACAGUGUUAUGGACGUUGUUAUAGUGCUCUCUUAAACGAUCAUUUAGGCGCAAGCCUAUCUGUCCAAUAUAUUUACUGCCUCAAAAUGGGAAUUUGGGAAACCACAUUCAUUGCACACAUCGCAAAACGUUUUCUGUGCUCGGCAGAGCAACAACUCUGACGUGAUUUAGGCGCGUUUACACACUUACAGAGCCUUGCCAGCUUUUCCGGGGCUGAGAAAAGGACUGUGAUUUCUGCAGGUCCCCUAAUCUUUUUUAGCCUAUGGGAGACAUCAUGAACAUACGGUAGCACUGCAAACCUGUGUCUUUCAACCGGCUGGUUCCUUGACCGAGCGUGCUCAUCAUGUUUUGUGCGCUUCAGAAGCUGUUCCGCUAUGGCUGAAAUUAAGGCCAAAGGGUAGCCAACCCAAGAAAGGCAAUCAGCCUGUGCAGCAACGCUAUGUUGCAUCUCUUGUGAGCAAGAUUUAUUGAGGCUGUUAAGGAGGCAAAGCUUCACAAUAUCUCAUUUGACUUUGUUGGACAGACAGGCAGGCGCCUAAACAAUCAUUUAGGAGAGCACGAUAACAACGUCCAUAACACUGUUCAAGGCCACUUCGGCAUCCAUUGCUGGGACUGCGGCUGCAUGCCCCUCUUUGAAGGUACGGAAGCUUUAGUGAGACAGGUCAUCCAGGAAACUAUAGAAGCAGAUUUCACUAGAAAACUGGUUAGUGUGUGCGUUAGUGACCCCUCUAUCGUGCUGACCCCUAGUGAAGUCUUGUAUCUCAACAGAUAGAAAUUCUAAUGUUUAUUUUUUUCAAAGGACGAUGUUCUUAGUACAGUCACUUGCUGUUAGACACCCCUUGUGACUCAUAUUCUGCGCAUGCCCGCUUUUGUGCAAAUAUACUCGAUGUGGCAACGUAAUUAAAUAUUGUUUGAAGUCAGCGCAGUCUGUCAUCUCUCGCAGUUCUUGUCAUUCAAGCUGUACGUAAUUUUAUCUCAUUAAUUGCAAACUAUCCCAAGGAACUACCCUUGUUCAGUAUAAUUAUAAUGUUUGAUAUGACCAUUUGCUGGCAAAUGUUAACAGUGUGAUAUUUAACUUGAACUUUUGCAUGACUGCCUAUGCCUGUGUUCUUUUAGUAACCAGAGUAUGGCUAAUUUAUUAAACCAUAUUUGCUAAUUUGCAUGCUCACAUGCUAUAGCAUGCCUUAAUCUUGAAUUACUGCAUCUAAGUGCAAAUAAUUUAGAAAUUUACUAUGUAUUUUAAAACACUGUCCACAUUUUGUGCUCAGCAAAAUCGUUUAAUCAACAGUGGUUUGUUUUUAUCAGGCCUCCUGCUGCACUUUGCACCCAGGCACUAAUAGAUGUGGAAUAUGCACUCUUUUGAUUUAUAGUAAGCAAAGAACCUAUUUUCAAACUACAUAUUGUAUAUGUACCAGUGCCUUAGAGUUACAAAACAAAAAUUUAUAGAAACUGGUAUUGUAGUUAGAAAAACCGCUAAACAGCACCUUUAGCCCAGAGAACUCUCAUUUCACAAAAGAGGACAAACUAUGUAGGCGCUAAAAAAUUCUACGUAUUUUUUGUGCUCAAGUAAUCUUGUUGGAAAUAGAAAAUUAGCAAUAAGGCUCCUGGCAUAAACCUCACUUAAAGCAUGUCUAUGCUUGGAAAGUAUUCUUUCAGUCUGAAAAAUGUUGGCCAGUUAUGCUUUACAUCGACUUUCCAAACUUUUCAUAAUGCUUUGCGAUUACAUUAGUGUACAAAAUAACAGGUGUCUUUCUAGUGCGUUUGCUCUGCAUUUCAAUUGCUUCUCUAAUUCACCUUUGCAAUAUGCCUUUUUUUAAGGCAUCAAAACUUGAAUUUUCGUUCACUGGAGCCUAAUACUAAAAAUUUAUUCCUUUAUGUGGCCCAAAACACUGCGAAUCAACCCAGGCUCUUUCAGUGCCGCUAUACAUAGUUUCUUCUCUAAUAACAGAUUUGAUCAAUACAUAUAUUUUAGGUACCUUUGUGGGGAAUGUACAUGUUCUUGUACUUACCGAUGUGUUUGGUGAUUGUGCAUGAUUAUAUUUCAUGUGAUUUAUGUAUAUGUUGUACUCUGUAUUGCAGCAUGCAAUAAAUAUAUUUGCAUUUUCUUGAAAAUGCAGCAUAUAUCUUACCAGUCUGUGUUGCAUGUUAUUUGGAUAUGGAAAUCGUGAUAACCUUGGUGUUGAUAUACAUGCUCAAAAGUGUCCAAGUUUGCUAGGUUGUAUUUGUGCAGCGAAGACAGGUUUUCCAAUAUACACCAUGAAUUACUAAUAUGUAAUGUGAUCCACACGUAUAGGUGUUGUGUAUGCCCAUCGAAGCUUCAAGGCCGGCUGUUCGACAGUGCGUUUUGUAGCCGAACUUGAACCUUCUGGCACACGCAGUAGUUGCGCAUGGAUCGCUGUACAUAGUAGU